AUAAAAACGUACCGUUGAGAGGU
rnacentral:snRNA from 1 species